rnacentral:rRNA from 1 species
AGAGUUUGAUCCCGGCUCAGGAUGAACGCUGGCGGCGUGCCUAAUACAUGCAAGUCGAACGAAACUUCUUUAUCACCGAGUGCUUGCACUCACCGAUAAAGAGUUGAGUGGCGAACGGGUGAGUAACACGUGGGCAACCUGCCCAAAAGAGGGGGAUAACACUUGGAAACAGGUGCUAAUACCGCAUAACCAUAGUUACCGCAUGGUAACUAUGUAAAAGGUGGCUAUGCUACCGCUUUUGGAUGGGCCCGCGGCGCAUUAGCUAGUUGGUGGGGUAAAGGCUUACCAAGGCAAUGAUGCGUAGCCGAACUGAGAGGUUGAUCGGCCACAUUGGGACUGAGACACGGCCCAAACUCCUACGGGAGGCAGCAGUAGGGAAUCUUCCACAAUGGGCGAAAGCCUGAUGGAGCAACGCCGCGUGGGUGAAGAAGGUCUUCGGAUCGUAAAACCCUGUUGUUAGAGAAGAAAGUGCGUGAGAGUAACUGUUCACGUUUCGACGGUAUCUAACCAGAAAGCCACGGCUAACUACGUGCCAGCAGCCGCGGUAAUACGUAGGUGGCAAGCGUUAUCCGGAUUUAUUGGGCGUAAAGGGAACGCAGGCGGUCUUUUAAGUCUGAUGUGAAAGCCUUCGGCUUAACCGGAGUAGUGCAUUGGAAACUGGGAGACUUGAGUGCAGAAGAGGAGAGUGGAACUCCAUGUGUAGCGGUGAAAUGCGUAGAUAUAUGGAAGAACACCAGUGGCGAAAGCGGCUCUCUGGUCUGUAACUGACGCUGAGGUUCGAAAGCGUGGGUAGCAAACAGGAUUAGAUACCCUGGUAGUCCAUGCCGUAAACGAUGAGUGCUAAGUGUUGGGAGGUUUCCGCCUCUCAGUGCUGCAGCUAACGCAUUAAGCACUCCGCCUGGGGAGUACGACCGCAAGGUUGAAACUCAAAGGAAUUGACGGGGGCCCGCACAAGCGGUGGAGCAUGUGGUUUAAUUCGAAGCAACGCGAAGAACCUUACCUGGUCUUGACAUCCCGAUGACGAGUGAGCAAAGUCACUUUCCCUUCGGGGCAUUGGAGACAGGUGGUGCAUGGUUGUCGUCAGCUCGUGUCGUGAGAUGUUGGGUUAAGUCCCGCAACGAGCGCAACCCCUAUUUCCAGUAGCCAGCAGGUAGAGCUGGGCACUCUGGAGAGACUGCCCGGGAUAACCGGGAGGAAGGCGGGGAUGACGUCAAAUCAUCAUGCCCCUUAUGAUCAGGGCUACACACGUGCUACAAUGGCGUAAACAAAGGGAAGCGAGACGGUGACGUUAAGCAAAUCCCAAAAAUAACGUCCCAGUUCGGAUUGUAGUCUGCAACUCGACUACAUGAAGCUGGAAUCGCUAGUAAUCGCGAAUCAGAAUGUCGCGGUGAAUACGUUCCCGGGUCUUGUACACGCCGCCCGUCA